rnacentral:lncRNA from 1 species
ACGGGGGGGGUCACGAUGUCACACGGGGACACAGGGGAGUCAAAAUGUCACAUGGGGACACGGGGGGGGAACAUGGGGGGCUCAUGACGUCACACGGGGACACUGGGGGUUUCUCACGAUGUCCCCCCCAGCCUGGUGCCUGCGCGCCGAGGGGGUCAGCGCGGUGCUGCUGGGGGCCGCCAGCCCCGAGCUCCUCCGCGAGCAGCUGCGGGCCCUGCAGGUGCUGCCCCUGCUCUCCCCCUCCCUCCUGCAGGAGCUGCAGGGCCUCCUAGGGGCCGCGUAGGCCACGCCCCCUCUCACCUGAUUGGUCCAAUCCUGCAUGAGCCCCGCCCCUCCUCGCGUGGCUCAGCGCCGCAACCAAUCCCAGCCCCGGAGUGACGCGUGGGGGGCGGAGCCACCGGGCGUAGCCCCGCCCACUUCCGGGAGCCAUGGUGACCAUAGCAAUAAUCCAGCCCCGCCCCUGCACGGCGCGUGGGGGGCGGGCCUCGAAGCACAAGCCCCGCCCCUUCUCCCCACUCCCCACCAAUCGCAGCGCUUCCAGUCAGGGGAGGGGCCCCGGUUGGCUCCUCCCUCUUGGCCCCCGAGAAGGGGGGUGGCAAUAAAGUGGCUUUUCCCAAGGGGGGGGUGGCCAUGUUGU